rnacentral:rRNA from 1 species
GAUGAACGCUGGCGGCGUGCCUAAUACAUGCAAGUCGAGCGAACGGACGAGAAGCUUGCUUUUCUGAUGUUAGCGGCGGACGGGUGAGUAACACGUGGAUAACCUACCUAUAAGACUGGGAUAACUUCGGGAAACCGGAGCUAAUACCGGAUAAUAUUUUGCACCGCAUUGUUCAAAAGUGAAAGACGGUCUUGCUGUCACUUAUAGAUGGAUCCGCGCUGCAUUAGCUAGUUGGUAAGGUAACGGCUUACCAAGGCAACGAUGCAUAGCCGACCUGAGAGGGUGAUAGGCCACACUGGAACUGAGACACGGUCCAGACUCCUACGGGAGGCAGCAGUAGGGAAUCUUCCGCAAUGGGCGAAAGCCUGACGGAGCAACGCCGCGUGAGUGAUGAAGGUCUUCGGAUCGUAAAACUCUGUUAUUAGGGAAGAACAUAUGUGUAAGUAACUGUGCACAUCUUGACGGUACCUAAUCAGAAAGCCACGGCUAACUACGUG